rnacentral:rRNA from 1 species
GUUAACAACGGAAAGAAUUGUGCUUUCUUAACUCAUAUGGGAAACAGUUGUAACUCUGCUCACAACUAUGCGGCCAAAUGUUAUGACAAUUUGAAGAAUCAACAAUGCCAUAUUGAACAGCUAAUGGAGACAAACAACAGAAGAUAUAAGAGCAAACAGGCUGAGGCUUAG